rnacentral:rRNA from 1 species
GAUGAACGCUGGCUACAGGCUUAACACAUGCAAGUCGAGGGGAAACGCCGGGGAAGCUUGCUUCCCCGGGCGUCGACCGGCGCACGGGUGAGUAACGCGUAUCCAACCUGCCUCUGACUGAGGGAUAACCCGUCGAAAGUCGGCCUAAUACCUCAUGGCAUCGUCUGCGGGCAUCCAACGACGAUUAAAGAUUUCAUCGGUCAGGGAUGGGGAUGCGUCUGAUUAGCUUGUUGGCGGGGUAACGGCCCACCAAGGCUACGAUCAGUAGGGGUUCUGAGAGGAAGGUCCCCCACAUUGGAACUGAGACACGGUCCAAACUCCUACGGGAGGCAGCAGUGAGGAAUAUUGGUCAAUGGGCGGGAGCCUGAACCAGCCAAGUAGCGUGCAGGAUGACGGCCCUAUGGGUUGUAAACUGCUUUUAGGCGGGGAUAAAGUGAGGGACGUGUCCUUCAUUGCAGGUACCGCAUGAAUAAGGACCGGCUAAUUCCGUG